UCACAUGGGCUGCAGCUCUGUGCUGAUUGGGCCACAGGUUAAGAACCACUGCGAUAGCCAAUCUGGCGAAAAGUGGUUAGUGGGUUUAGUGGCCUCUUUCUGCCACAAAUGUAGUGAUGGUCCAUUUUCGUAUUUGCCAUAAAAACUGGUCCAGCUAUUAGUUUGGGAGUGGGAAAAGAAUUGAGGAUAGUUGCUUUGGAAAUAGACCUUUGAGUUUUUUUGAUUGUGCAAAACACAUUUAAUCAUCUGACUGUUGUGAUUCAGUAAAAUACAUUGCUCAGAUGGCAGCUCUCUGCAAAUCUCUACCCUGUCAGAAUAGGAAGUAGAUGAUGAUAAUCACAGCUAGAAUGAAUACUGGUAUCAUGUUUCUGCUAGUGUAUCUGCAGUUUAAAUGCAACGUCAUUGCUGGCCAAGUGACAUAUGUAUACUGAGGAUGUCUAUGAAAGAGACACAGACUUUUAAUCCACAAUUUUUUGAUCCCUUGGCCAACACAGACUUGAAAUACAACAGACUCCUCUGGGUGGUUACAAGUUGUGCGCCUCACUUCUCAAACCAACCUUUUUUUUAAGAGGCGUGGAAGGAUCCACAGUCAGGAGUCCUCACCAGUCCUUGAUUGGGCAGAUGGUGCCCACGUAAAGCCCAAGUGUAAAGGAGGAAAAGGUGAACUACCAGAUGGAUUUCCACUGCAACAUCCACAUUUCAUUCAGGUCAUCAGACACAGUGUAGUGUUGUUAAGAUUGAGCCUUUUUAUUCAGUCAAGUAUUUAACUCAAAUUAUAUCUAGUACAAUGGUAUAUCUUGAAUGUUGGGAUACUCCAUACUUCCCUGCAAGUCUAUGCACCAGAUCUUUUGAUUUCACCAACCAUCUGUGACCCUAGCAAAAAACUCUAGUUUUAGUAGUACCAUUUUUAAAUGGUACUGAACUCAUCUCAAGGUUUGUCUUGGCUAGGAAUUAAAAGGUAAGACCAACAGCUGAUGACAGUGUAGCAGUCUCUUGUAUAAGAUCAUGUUUGAUGUAAUGGAUCAUUUCGGGCUUCUUAGAACAAUGGGUUAAGAAAUCUGAUUUUUGAGACCAUGGGAUUCUUUUUUCCCUCUCCCUUCCUUUACAGGGGGUGUAGAAAGAAGACACGUUGUGGGGGAGUUGAUAGGUUAGAUGAGGUACAUCAGUUUCAGCAGCAGAAUUUCAGCAUUUGCUACUUACUGGUAGAGAAGAAAAAUCCCACAGCACUGCCAGUACAGGUUAGUUUAAUCUGUAAGUACCUGAUGUUCCUGUUUGAAAUACUGUGUUCAAAUACCAUUUAAGUACAUGAGGAGAGAGCCUUUUGAUCACCUAAAUGUGAAUACGUCUUUGUGUAGGAUAUAUGUUGCUGUCUUCAACAGAGAGUAAAUUUGUAGAAUUUAACGGUUUUUAAAAAAAUACAAUGAUUCUAACUACACCUAGGGGUACUAUACUUUUACAAGCACCUGAUUAACGGAAAUGGGGAUUAAAAGUUUUGAAAGCCAUUUUGGCAGUAUUGAGAAGCUUAAUGGACACAUGGACAUGGAUUCAACAGUCACUUCAGUAAUUCACUUACUACCAAGAGAGGUCAUUUUACCAGAGUGAAUUGAUGAUACAAGAUUUGAUAUUUGCUUAUAUUGGGGAUUAGGUGUUCAUGCCUCUAAUACUGUAGCAGUAAUUUAACCUUGACUUAAAUUUUCUGGUUACAGAUAUAUAAUAUCACCUGACUUAAUACCCUCACUCUUAUAUAUUUACUGUAGUAGGCCCUGUGCAUGGGAUUAGACUUUGAAAUCCAUUUUAGCCCCUUUUUACACUUCAAAGAGCUCCUACAAAUGUUUUCCUCAGAUUUUAGUUUACCCCAUAUUUAUUGUUUUUCCCUCAUAUUACUUUCUCCUUCCACCCCUCCAGUAUUGCUUAGUGUGCUUUAUCUGCUUAAAUUUGAAGCAGAUGACGUAAUUGUUUUGAUUUUUUUGGUUGUGCAAUGUCUUGAGCAUCUUGAGUACUUUGAAUGAAAUUAACUUCAGAAGAUAAAAUUUUAUAUGUGUACACAAAUGUACUGUGACCAUUUUUAGGUGCUCUAUAAAAAUAAACUCAAACUACAGCGCAUUAAAGAUCAAGGAAAUCCAACAGAUGGCAGUAGUCAAAUAGAAACUGAAACUAUUGUCAUCUCAAUUUAUCUAAUUAGAGCAACAAUCUGAAUAACAAUAUGAUAAACUGACAUUUACAGCUCCACUAAGUUGGUUUCAGAACUGAACAUCUUGCGUAGGUUUUAAGAAUUCAUUCUCAAUUAUAAUAUGUUCAUUUUUUAUGUUAUAGAAGAAAACACGCUUACUGAUUGAUAACCUUUGUAGUUUUAGCAGGACGCAUCUCCCAGGGGCUACUAUUAUAUGAUCAGGAAUUCAGACUGUAAAUGUUCACUUGCAGGCAAGUGGUGGUACACGCAGUUCAAAUUUCUCGCUUGUGAUGUGCCUGUUCAGAUUUGUCUUUUGGGAACCUGGUGGGUCACUUUUAUAUAGAAUUUAAAAUUAAUCUGUUGCCCUAUAACUCCUAAUUAUAAUUGGCAGUUAUGUGCAUGUGUAAAAACUACAGAUUCCUUACUGUCAAAUCAGUGACUAUAUGUAGUAAAGUUCACAAAGCUUUCCUUUUAAUUGAUUUUUUUAAAAAUAGUUAUGAAUCCAGUUGCCGUUUUGUGGCACCAAAUCUGUCAGCUUGUUAAUAACAACUGGUUCUUUUGGACUGCAAUAUUCUGUGAGGUCAACCUCCAGGGGUUGCCAAAAAAGAAAUAAUUUAACCUUCUACUUCACGGUACCCCAAUUUGAUAAUGAACACUCCCCUUUGCCACAGCCAGCCUCUAGUGCGGGGGUUGGCAACCUUCAGCACACAGCCCAUCAGGGUAAUCCUCUGGCAGGCCGCAAGACAUUUUUGUUUAUGUGGACUGUCCACAGGUAUUCUCUCCUCCCCCCCCUCUCUCCCCCGAGCUUCCUGCGGCCACGGUUUGCUGUGCCUGGCCAAUGGGAGCUGUGGGAAGCGGCAGGCUGCAGGGAUGUGCUGGCCGUGGCUUCAUUCUACUCCUAUUGGCUGAGAAUGGCGAACCGCGGCCCUGGGGACCCUGCGGACAGUCAAUGUAAACAGUGUCUUGUGACCUGCCAGUGGAUUACCCUGAUAGGCCGCGUGCCGAAGGUUGCUGACCUCUGCUGUAGUGCUUCAUAUUACAAGAAAGUACAGUGCUUCCAGAUUGCUUUAAUAUGAGCUAUGGUGGAAAUGCCACCUUUGAGAUUUUUUUAUGCCAGUUAAAUAGCUCACAGCAUAAUAUGAAUAUUGUUUCAAUAAUAAAGAACUAAAUGCAUUUUUCCUUUUGACACAGCAAAGAUUUUUCUGAAGGAUACUGGGAAUCUUAUACCUGUCAUUACCACACAAGUGAUUUUAAGUUGAGCUUUUGGUCCAUUGUCAUAGCUGUCCUGUAGCAUACAAUUUGAUCUUUUACUUUACGGUGGCAAUUACUUUGAGGCCACACUAAGAAUUUAUCUUUCUUCGAUGAACCAACAGUCAUUCGGGUAUCGAUAUUAAAAAGUUUCCCAAAUUCAUGUUUUUUGAAGAAGUGAAGUGAAUGGGACCAAGUUAACUGUUUUUAGAACAUUAAAAUAUGCUCAUCAAUCUGUGAGCAUGUGUGCAAAACUUGUAACAGAUGGUAGAAGUAUUGGUAAGAGGGAAGGGUAAAUUGAAAGGUUGGUAAGUAUGUGGGUAACUCUGUAAAAUGCAUGUUGACUGUAGAAAAUGGUAACUGUCUGCAGUUUAAUUUUCAUAGCAUUCAGUUGACAGAGAAGUGUUGAAGACCAUAUGGAACCAAGAACAAUGAAUCAAACUUGCAUUCCUUGUGUGUUCUUAUGGGGUUCAUUUUUCUUCAGGAAUGGGAAAUUGGAUAUAUGUACUUCCGUAAUAUGUAUCUAUUUAAUUCUGACUUUCUCUAAUGAUUAAACUUAGUAAUUUAAUAAAUGAA